AGAGUUUGAUCCUGGCUCAGGACGAACGCUGGCGGCGUGCUUAACACAUGCAAGUCGAGCGAUGAAGCUUCCUUCGGGGAGUGGAUUAGCGGCGGACGGGUGAGUAACACGUGGGUAACCUGCCUCAAAGUGGGGGAUAGCCUUCCGAAAGGAAGAUUAAUACCGCAUAAUAUAAGAGAAUCGCAUGAUUUUCUUAUCAAAGAUUUAUUGCUUUGAGAUGGACCCGCGGCGCAUUAGCUAGUUGGUAAGGUAACGGCUUACCAAGGCAACGAUGCGUAGCCGACCUGAGAGGGUGAUCGGCCACAUUGGAACUGAGACACGGUCCAGACUCCUACGGGAGGCAGCAGUGGGGAAUAUUGCGCAAUGGGGGAAACCCUGACGCAGCAACGCCGCGUGGGUGAUGAAGGUCUUCGGAUUGUAAAGCCCUGUUUUCUAGGACGAUAAUGACGGUACUAGAGGAGGAAGCCACGGCUAACUACGUGCCAGCAGCCGCGGUAAUACGUAGGUGGCGAGCGUUGUCCGGAUUUACUGGGCGUAAAGGGUGCGUAGGCGGAUGUUUAAGUGGGAUGUGAAAUCCCCGGGCUUAACCUGGGGGCUGCAUUCCAAACUGGAUAUCUAGAGUGCAGGAGAGGAAAGCGGAAUUCCUAGUGUAGCGGUGAAAUGCGUAGAGAUUAGGAAGAACACCAGUGGCGAAGGCGGCUUUCUGGACUGUAACUGACGCUGAGGCACGAAAGCGUGGGUAGCAAACAGGAUUAGAUACCCUGGUAGUCCACGCCGUAAACGAUGGAUACUAGGUGUAGGGGGUAUCAACUCCCCCUGUGCCGCAGUUAACACAAUAAGUAUCCCGCCUGGGGAGUACGGUCGCAAGAUUAAAACUCAAAGGAAUUGACGGGGGCCCGCACAAGCAGCGGAGCAUGUGGUUUAAUUCGAAGCAACGCGAAGAACCUUACCUGGACUUGACAUCCCUUGCAUAGCCUAGAGAUAGGUGAAGCCCUUCGGGGCAAGGAGACAGGUGGUGCAUGGUUGUCGUCAGCUCGUGUCGUGAGAUGUUAGGUUAAGUCCUGCAACGAGCGCAACCCUUGUUAUUAGUUGCUACCAUUAAGUUGAGCACUCUAAUGAGACUGCCUGGGUAACCAGGAGGAAGGUGGGGAUGACGUCAAAUCAUCAUGCCCCUUAUGUCCAGGGCUACACACGUGCUACAAUGGUAGGUACAAUAAGACGCAAGACCGUGAGGUGGAGCAAAACUUAUAAAACCUAUCUCAGUUCGGAUUGUAGGCUGCAACUCGCCUACAUGAAGCUGGAGUUGCUAGUAAUCGCGAAUCAGAAUGUCGCGGUGAAUACGUUCCCGGGCCUUGUACACACCGCCCGUCACACCAUGAGAGCUGGUAACACCCGAAGUCCGUGAGGUAACCGUAAGGAGCCAGCGGCCGAAGGUGGGAUUAGUGAUUGGGGUGAAGUCGUAACAAGGUAGCCGUAGGAGAACCUGCGGCUGGAUCACCU
rnacentral:rRNA from 1 species